ACCCCGAACAGGGGAGUGAAAUAGAACCUGAAACCAUACGCUUACAACCGGUCGGAGCAGCUUCGUGCUGUGACGGCGUGCCUAUUGAAUAAUGAGCCUACGAGUUACUAAUCACUGGCGAGGUUAAGUGCACGGAUGCACGGAGCCGAAGCGAAAGCGAGUCUGAACAGGGCGUUUAGUCAGUGGUUGUAGACGCGAAACCUUGCGAUCUACCCUUGAGCAGGUUGAAGGUUGGGUAAAACCAACUGGAGGACCGAACGAAUAAGCGUUGAAAAGCUUCUCGAUGACUUGAGGGUAGGGGUGAAAGGCUAAUCAAGCUGGGAAAUAGCUCGUACUCCCCGAAAUGCCUUUAGGGGCAGCGUUGUAAUUGAGAGUCUACUGGAGGUAGAGCUACUGAUUGGAUGCGGGGGCUUCACCGCCUACCAAAUCCUGACAAACUCCGAAUGCCAGUAGUAUGAUUUACAGCAGUGAGCGACCGGGUGCUAAUGUCCGGUUACGAGAGUGGAACAACACAGACCAGCAACUAAGGUCCCGAAGAGUAUACUAAGUUGAUCUAACGAUGUUUUGCUGCAGAGACAGCUAGGAUGUUAGCUUGGAAGCAGCUAUUCAUUCAAAGAGUGCGUAACAGCUCACUAGUCGAGCGACAGAGCGUGGAUAAUAAACGGGCAUCAAGCAUAUCACCGAAGUUCUGGGCGCGAGAGCGCGGUAGGGGAGCAUUCCAUUCAGCGUCGAAGCAGUUUCGUGAGGAAUUGUGGAGCGUAUGGAAAAGCAAAUGUAGGCAUGAGUAACGAUAAUGCGGGAGAGUAACCCGCACACCGCAAGACCAAGGUUUCCUGAUCAACGCUAAUCGGAUCAGGGUUAGUCGGGUCCUAAGGGUAAGCCGAACGGUGAUCUCGAUGGACAAUCGGUUAAUAUUCCGAUACUAACAUAUACCUCGAUGGAGAGACGAAGGAACGUAAGUGCCGCCACCUGACGGAAUAGGUGGUUAAAGGGCGUAGGUAUAGGGGCAGAUUAAGAGUUAGUCCUUGCUGAAACCUGACAGUACAGAGAGCCUACGGGCAAUUUGAUAGAGCACCCAAGUCGACUUCCGAGAAAAUCUUCUAAGUUAUAGUAUAUGUUACCCGUACCGUAAACCGACACAGGUGGUCGAGGAGAGUAUCCUAAGGUGCUCGAGUGAAUCACGGUUAAGGAACUAGGCAAAUUAACCCCGUAACUUCGGGAAAAGGGGUCCCUAUGAAAGUAGGGCGCAGCGAAGAGGUCCAGGCGACUGUUUAUCAAAAACACAGGGCUCUGCAAAUUCGAAAGAAGACGUAUAGGGCCUGACACCUGCCCGGUGCUGGAAGGUUAAGAGGGGAUGUCAUCGCAAGAGAAGCAUUGAAUCGAAGCCCCAGUAAACGGCGGCCGUAACUAUAACGGUCCUAAGGUAGCGAAAUUCCUUGUCGGGUAAGUUCCGACCUGCACGAAUGGUGUAACGAUCUGGACACUGUCUCAACCGUGAGCUCGGUGAAAUUGUAGUCCCGGUGAUGAUGCCGGGUACCCGCAACGGGACGAAAAGACCCCGUGAACCUUUACUAUAGCUUAACGCUGAAUUUGGGUACACAAUGUGUAGGAUAGGCCGGAGACAGUGAAGCGGGUACGCCAGUAUUCGUGGAGUCAACGUUGAAAUACGGCCCUUUGUGUACUUGGAUUCUAACCCUCGAGAGGGGACACCGUUUGGUGGGUAGUUUGACUGGGGUGGUCGCCUCCAAAAGCGUAACGGAGGCUUCCCAAGGUACCCUCAGCACGAAUGGUAACCGUGCGUAGAGUGCAAUAGCAUAAGGGUGCUUGACUGUGAGACAUACAAGUCGACCAGGUACGAAAGUAGGGUAUAGUGAUCCGGUGGUUCUGCGUGGACUGGCCAUCGCUCAAAGGAUAAAAGGUACUCCGGGGAUAACAGGCUGAUCGCCGCCAAGAGCUCAUAUCGACGCGGCGGUUUGGCACCUCGAUGUCGGCUCGUCACAUCCUGGGGCUGGAGAAGGUCCCA
rnacentral:rRNA from 1 species